CUCGGAUGUGUGUUUGGCUGUUGCCGCUGAUUACUAAGCUGUGUGUGCGUGUGUUUUUGGCUGCUGAUUACUAACCGUGUGUCUGUGCUUUGGGUGUAGUUCGCUCUUGCUGAAAUUGCUGUAGCUGGCUGCUAAGAUGAGUUGGUCCUGGAUCUGGAUCCACCGCUUCCUUCCUCUGAAUUUUUGUUGUAGCAAAUGGAGGAGCAGCUCAAGACAUUGAUAGUCCUUUCUCACUACCUAGAGACUGGUAGGUUCCGCCAGUUUUGGGAUGAGGCAUCAAAGAGCCGUAACAUAUUGGAAGUUGUUCCAGGUUCAAAGAACUUGAAGAAAUCAAUAUGACAAUAGGACAAGCUUCACCAGUAGAGCAACAAGGAGGCGUCAGCAAAGUAAGUUGUUAUGUAAAUACUCUUUUUGAAUGAGAUAAGAAGCACUACCGAGGUAGAUUACAACAUG